rnacentral:rRNA from 1 species
AGUGAACGCUGGCGGCAGGCCUAACACAUGCAAGUCGAGCGGCAGAAGGGAGCUUGCUCGCGGAUACAGCGGCGGACGGGCGAGUAAGGCCGAGAAACCUGCGAGGCAGCGGGUGAGAAGGUGCGGACGCGGGCGCUAAUACGGCAUACGCCCAGAGGGAGUAAGUGGGGGAGCUUGGGAUCUUACGCUCUCAGAUGAGUCUAGGUCGGAUUAGCUAGUUGGUGGGGUAAAGGCCUACCAAGGCGACGAUCCGUAACUGGUCUGAGAGGAUGAUCAGUCACACUGGAACUGAGACACGGUCCAGACUCCUACGGGAGGCAGCAGUGGGGAAUAUUGGACAAUGGGCGCAAGCCUGAUCCAGCCAUGCCGCGUGUGUGAAGAAGGUCUUCGGAUUGUAAAGCCCUUUUAGUUGGGAGGAAGGGCAGUAAGUUAAUACCUUGCUGUUUUGACGUUACCAACAGAAUAAGCACCGGCUAACUUCGUG